rnacentral:rRNA from 1 species
AUUGAACGCUGGCGGCAGGCUUAGUACAUGCAAGUCGAGGGGCAGCGCGGGGUAGCAAUACUCUGGCGGCGACCGGCAAACGGGUGCGGAACACGUACAGAACCUUCCUUCGAGCGGGGAAUAGCCCAGAGAAAUUUGGAUUAAUACCCCAUAGUAUAGCGGAGUGGCAUCACUCUGUUAUUAAAGAUUUAUCACUUGAAGAUGGCUGUGCGGCUGAUUAGGUAGUUGGCGGGGUAACGGCCCACCAAGCCUGCGAUCAGUAACUGGUGUGAGAGCACGACCAGUCACACGGGCACUGAGACACGGGCCCGACUCCUACGGGAGGCAGCAGUAAGGAAUAUUGGUCAAUGGACGAAAGUCUGAACCAGCCAUGCCGCGUGAAGGAUGAAGGUCCUCUGGAUUGUAAACUUCUUUUAUAUGGGACGAAAAAAGGCUUUUCUAAGUCGUCUGACGGUACCAUUUGAAUAAGCACCGGCUAACUCCGUGCCAGCCGCCGCCGUAACAC